AUGUUAUGUGUGGGUUAAAACGGUUUGUGGAGCGCUGGAGACCCAGAUGAUCAUAGUCGAUGUCAAAUGCAGAAUCUAUAAUUACUGCUAUUGAAAACUAUAUGAAGAGAAAAGAGCAAGUCUGAAGUUCUCACACAGAUAUCUGUAGUACGUUAAACGAGUGGGUGGGAACUACAUUAACUAGCUCCUCGUCUCUAAAGUGCGGCAUGUCUCCAGGACAGGAGUCGACUGUUGCGCGCAGGGAAAAGUAGCCUCGUCUGGGGCGCAGGGAAUCUAUGGAGACUUGAAAGUCUGACUGAAGGACACGGAGAACGUCAGGUUCUUCUGUGUUGCCACAGGCAGGCAGGGCACCAGAUGACUGGUGUGUACUGGGAGUAGGGCUUUCAGUCGCUGCGCUGCAUUGGAGCACAAUUCACAGCCAUGCAGCAGGUGCUGGAUAACCUGAGAGACAUGCCU